GUCUUUUUGAGUUUAAUUUAAAGUCUAAUCUGCCCACUGAUAAAUAUUUAAGGGCCGCAGUAUUUUGACUGUGCAAAGGUAGCAUAAUCAUUAGUCUUUUAAUUGAGGGCUUGUAUGAAUGAUUGGACGAGAUAUAAGCUGUCUCAUAUAAAUUUAAGUAGAAUUUUAUUUUUUAGUUAAAAAGCUAAAAUAAUUUUAAAAGACGAGAAGACCCUAUAGAUCUUUAUAAUUUAUUUUUAAAUUUUUUUAGGUUAUUUUUUAAGUUUAUAAUUUAAAUUAUUUUGUUGGGGUGACAAUGAAAUUUAAUAAACUUUCAUUAUUUUGAGACAUUAAUUUAUGGUUUAUUGAUCCACUAUUAGUGAUUAAAAAUUUAAGUUACCUUAGGGAUAACAGCGUAAUUAUUUUGGAGAGUUCUUAUCGAUAAAAUAGUUUGCGACCUCGAUGUUGGAUUAAGAUUAAUUUUGGGUGUAGCAGCUCAGUUUAUUAAGUCUGUUCGACUUUUAAUUUCUU
rnacentral:rRNA from 1 species